rnacentral:ncRNA from 2 species
AUGAUUACAAGGGGAGAGAUUAUGGGGAAUGGAAGCAAAGUUUAUUCCGCCAUAACGCCGAAGGAGCAAACAAUUGUGAAUCUCUCAGGCAAACAGACUCUUGUAGGACG